AGCUUUAAGGAGUAAUUUAAAGUUAAGUCUGCCCAGUGAUUUUUUAACGGCCGCAGUACUUUGACUGUGCUAAGGUAGCAUAAUAAAUUGGCUUUUAAUUGAAGUCUAGUAUGAAUGGAUAUUUGGGGAAAAGCUUUCUUAUUAUCAAUAAUUAAAAUUUACUUAAUAGGUGAAAAUACCUAUAAAAAAUACAUUAGACGAGAAGACCCUAAGAAUUAUUAAUAAAAGACUUAAUGUUAUUAUUUUUUUGUUGGGGCAACAAUGUUGGAUAAAACCAACACUAUUUAUUUAGAUUAAUAAAAUUAGAUUUCUAAUUAAAAAAUAAAUUACCUUAGGGAUAACAGCAUAAUUGAUUUAUUAGAUUGUGACCUCGAUGUUGGAUUAAGGACUUUAAUUAUUAACCAUAAUUAAAGAUUGUUCUGUUCGAACAAAAAACCUU
rnacentral:rRNA from 1 species